rnacentral:rRNA from 1 species
GACGAACGCUGGCGGCGUGCUUAACACAUGCAAGUCGAACGGAAAGGCCCGGCUCUUGCGGCGUGCUCGAGUGGCGAACGGGUGAGUAACACGCGUGUAACCCGUCCCUGUCAUUGGGAGAACACUAGGAAACAGGGGCGAAUAUCGCAGAUGAUCUCCUGCUGCACGGGGGGCGUUGGAAAGAUACGGCGGUGGGGGCUGGACUCGAGGCUUACCAGCUUCUUGGUCGAGUAGUGGCUUACCAGGCCUUUGACGGGUAGCCGACCUGGGAGGGUGACCGGCGACAUUGCGACUGAGAUACGGACCAGUCUCCUACGGGAGGCAGCAGUCGGAAAUAUUGCACAAUGGGCGGACGCGUGAUGCGGAAACGCCGCGUGCGGGAUGACGGCCUUCGAGUUGUAAACAGCUUUCGACUGUGACGAGGCGUGCGUGACGGUAAUGAGUAAAGAAGCAACGGCUAACUACGUG